rnacentral:rRNA from 1 species
AACGAACGCUGGCGGCAUGCCUAACACAUGCAAGUCGAACGAAGCCUUCGGGCUUAGUGGCGCACGGGUGCGUAACGCGUGGGAAUCUGCCCCUUGCUUCGGAAUAACAGUUAGAAAUGACUGCUAAUACCGGAUGAAGUCUUCGGACCAAAGAUUUAUCGGCAAGGGAUGAGCCCGCGUCGGAUUAGGUAGUUGGUGGGGUAAAGGCCUACCAAGCCGACGAUCCUUAGCUGGUCUGAGAGGAUGAUCAGCCACACUGGGACUGAGACACGGCCCAGACUCCUACGGGAGGCAGCAGUGGGUAAUAUUGGACAAUGGACGCAAGUCUGAUCCAGCAAUGCCGCGUGAGUGAUGAAGGCCUUAGGGUUGUAAAGCUCUUUUACCAGGGAUGAUAAUGACAGUACCUGGAGAAUAAGCGCCGGCUAACUCCGUG